ensembl:snoRNA
GGUCAGUGAUGAAGUUUGACAUACCUGUCUGAAUUUAAAGUUGAUGUGGUUCUAACACACAGCUCUAGAAUUACUCUGAGACCUG